ACGACUAUAAUCAUUAAACUGACUGUUUUUUCCUAACUUAUUAUCACAGCCAAAAUUACAUAUAAGCAGUGUGUUUCUUGAAGUGUUGAAGUCAAGGUGCUUUUGUAUAAAUGUAGGGUGAUUAAUAAGAGCAUACCAUGAUUUCGAAACACACUUACAUCUUACAAGUGCCUUAACUUGAGUCCUGUAGAGUAUUUCAAGAACAAGAGCUGCUGGAAGUGUCUUUACAGUGAUGGUUUUGUUCUUCUCAGCUGCUGAUGGGGUUGAGUGAUGUUGGGGUUUGGGGGGUUUGUGAUAUCUUUUCUUUGCUUUUCCAUUUUUCACCAUUUUUUGACUUCACGGGAGCUCUAGGGUUUAAGGGGUGUUUGUUUUAAUACAGAGAAAUGGGAGUUUUAAGUUCAGUUCUGCUAUCUUCAAGUAGUAACUUCUGACAAGUGAGAGUUAAUGUGAACGACGCUCCAAGUUCCCAGAUUAAGACCCCGUUUGGUUAUAUUAAAGCAAUAAGUUUAGAUAUAUUUAUUUUUUAUUUACGGGGAUGGUAAAUAGCAGGGAUGUACGUGGUGCGAUUUGCACCUAAAAUCGCAAUUGAAAUCACAUGCAUGAAGUUUCUAAAAUGAAAAUCGAAACCAAACCAAAUAUUAUUGGUGUGGUUCGGUUUAUAAAUAAUUGAGCAGUUCUCAUAUGAUGCAGUUCGGUUUUCAAAUAAUGAAAAGUCCGAAAAAAUAAAAAUUAUGAUAUCAACACAUCACAUCAGGGAGAAAACACAUAAAUAAGAUAUCAUUGAAGGAUAAAAGCUGGCAGCAUUCAAAUCUUUGACACACUGAGCAAGUUCUUCUCAUCUUUGGCAUUAAAAAUAAGAUAUAGAAAUUAAUAAUCGAUAUAUUUGAUUAUUCGAGGGAAAUCAACAAUAUACAAGAAAACAGUUAUUUCUAGCUAACCAGAACAAGUAAAUGGUGGUGUUUGGCGGGCAAAUAUAAGCCGACUUCUGGGCUUAUAAGUUAUAAGCACUUAUUUGUACUAUUUGUGUAAAAAGUAGAGAAGCACUUAAAAAAAGUUAGGAUUACUAGUUUUUGUCUCAGGACUUCUGCUUAUUUGCCAAACAGUUUAAUCACUUAUAAGUCUUAACUUGCUUAUGACUUCUACUUCACUUUUGUAUUUAAGCAAAAAGCACUUAUUUUAAACUCACUCAAACGGCCUCAAUAUUUCUAGCUUUCUAUUACAUGCAUGAAUGACAAUUUAAAAUGCACACCAGAUCAUUAUAAUUAUUCUGCCGCUUUGCCUAAGAAUAGUGCCAGAGGCACAGAGUUAUACCAAAUGAAGUCACAGGGGACUGGGGGCAGGUUGUGUAUAAAAAUCACAUACUUAAACAUAUAUUAUAUAAUACAUAUAAUUUAUUUAUUAUAUUUAAACAUAUAAAAUAAAUAAUUAAAUAAAUAUAAAUAUUAUUGCGGUUCUAUUCGGCUUUAAAAAUUUUGAAAAUCAAAACCACAACCAAAGUAUUGAUGCGGUUUUUAUUCGGUUCGGUUUUUAUUCGGUGCGAUUUUAUAUGGUUUUUGGUUCGGUUUCGGUUUUCGGUUUCCAGUUCGAUUUCUGCUCAACCCUAAUAAAUAGUACCAAUUCGAUAGAUACCCGACCCGUUCUGAUCAAAAUGGACUGAACUGAAUCAGAAGUACGAAUAUAGAUCCGGAUUUGAAUUUAAUUUUUAGACCCGGAUAAAGUGCGGAUCGGGUUUAUUAUUCACUGAGGCAUUAACAUAUUUAUGAACUUCUUUCAAUGAUCUUGUAAUUUCUUUAGUUUACUGAUCAUCUAAUUCUGUAUGUAUUUUUUCUUCAAUUUGUCGAUUAUGUAUCAUACUUUAUUUAUUAUUUCCUGUCUUGUUUAUAGUGUUCAGAUAUCGCUAUUACAAACUAUGUUACAUUAUGCCUUACACUACCACCGAAGACUUAUAACACGGUGCCAAUUAACCAUAUUUAUAUUUGGAAGUCUAUAUAUAGAGCUAAAUAGUUCUUUUAAAACUAACAACACAUAUUGUAAUUAUGCACACUGCUCACAUAAACAUUCUGCAAAGUAUAUAAAUUUGGUUAAAUUUAUUUUUUACUUAUAAAAUUUAUUAUUAAUUUUUAUAAUAUUUUAUUUAAAUUUGUAUUAGUUUAUAAAAUGAAUUUAAAAUAAAAUUUUGAAUUUAAAUUUAAGUGGACGCGGCACCUGAUUUGGGCACCCAGACGCGAGCACCCCACACACUAGCACAAGGCACGAGCAUCGGGCGUCAACGCCCAUGUAAGAGCCACAAGGAACUCGAGCCACACAAACAACACUAGACAAGGUGGUGGUACGUAUAUUAAUUAACGUCAUGUGUGUUGAUUCACAAGAAAUUUACAAGGCAAAAGACUUAGCGCCGAGAAGCACGAGGUCCUCUACUCGCCAAGAAACUCAGUGAUAUAGGCGUAGGCAUCAUGUGCAACACACUAAUGCAUACAUACAAGGGUNUGAAGUCAAGGUGCUUUUGUAUAAAUGUAGGGUGAUUAAUAAGAGCAUACCAUGAUUUCGAAACACACUUACAUCUUACAAGUGCCUUAACUUGAGUCCUGUAGAGUAUUUCAAGAACAAGAUCUGCUGGAAGUGUCUUUACAGUGAUGGUUUUGUUCUUCUCAGCUGCUGAUGGGGUUGAGUGAUGUUGGGGUUUGGGGGGUUUGUGAUAUCUUUUCUUUGCUUUUCCAUUUUUCACCAUUUUUUGACUUCACGGGAGCUCUAGGGUUUAAGGGGUGUUUGUUUUAAUACAGAGAAAUGGGAGUUUUAAGUUCAGUUCUGCUAUCUUCAAGUAGUAACUUCUGACAAGUGAGAGUUAAUGUGAACGACGCUCCAAGUUCCCAGAUUAA
rnacentral:lncRNA from 1 species